UACGAAGGGGGCUAGCGUUGCUCGGAAUCACUGGGCGUAAAGGGCGCGUAGGCGGCGUUUUAAGUCGGGGGUGAAAGCCCAGGGCUCAACCCUGGAAUUGCCUUCGAUACUGGAUGUCUUGAGUUCGGGAGAGGUGAGUGGAAUGCCGAGUGUAGAGGUGAAAUUCGUAGAUAUUCGGCGGAACACCAGUGGCGAAGGCGACUCACUGGCCCGAUACUGACGCUGAUGCGCGAAAGCGUGGGGAGCAAACAGG
rnacentral:rRNA from 1 species